rnacentral:rRNA from 1 species
AGAGUUUGAUCCUGGCUCAGAACAAACGCUGGCGGCGUGUCUUAAGCAUGCAAGUCGAGCGGCAAGGGCAGCAAUGCCCCUAGAGCGGCGGACUGGUGAGUAACGCGUGGGUGAUCUACCUUUGGCAUGGGGAUAGCCAUUAGAAAUAGUGGGUAAUACCGAAUACGUUCGGCACCGUGGGGGUGCUGAGGAAAGGUGCUACGGCACCGGCCGGAGAUGAGCCUGCGUCCGAUUAGCUAGUUGGUGAGGUAAAGGCCCACCAAGGCUAUGAUCGGUAGGCGGCCUGAGAGGGUGUACGCCCACAUUGGGACUGAGAUACGGCCCAAACUCCUACGGGAGGCAGCAGCUAAGAAUAUUCCGCAAUGGACGAAAGUCUGACGGAGCGACGCCGCGUGGAUGAUGAAGGCCGAAAGGUUGUAAAGUCCUUUUGCUGGGGAAGAAUAAGUCUGGGAGGGAAUGCCCGGAUGAUGACAUGAACCGGCGAAUAAGCCCCGGCUAACUACGUGCCAGCAGCCGCGGUAACACGUAGGGGGCAAGCGUUGUUCGGAAUUACUGGGCGUAAAGGGCAUGUAGGCGGCUUUGUAAGCUUGGCGUGAAAUUCCAGGGCUUAAACCGUGGGAAUGCGUUUGAAAACUCGCAGGGCUGAGUUAUUGGAAAGGGAAGCCUAGAAAUUCCUUGGGGUAGGGGUGGAAUUCUGGUAGAAGAUCAGAAGAAUACCCAAUUGGCGAAGGCAAGCUCCUGGCCAAUAACUGACGCUGAAGGUGGCGAAAGUGUGGGGAUCAAACAGGAUUAGAUACCCUGGUAGUCCACACUGUAAACGAUGUACACUAGGUGCUGGGGCGGAUGCUUCAGUGCCGUAGCUAACGUGAUAAGUGUACCGCCUGGGGAGUAUGCUCGCAAGGGUGAAACUCAAAGGAAUUGACGGGGGCCCGCACAAGCGGUGGAGCAUGUGGUUUAAUUCGAUGGUACGCGAGGAACCUUACCUGGGUUUGACAUACAGUGUGAUAGGUCAGAGAUGAUCUAGCGUAGCAAUACGACGCUGUACAGGUGCUGCAUGGCUGUCGUCAGCUCGUGCCGUGAGGUGUUGGGUUAAGUCCCGCAACGAGCGCAACCCCUACCUCUCCAGUUCUACACGGUUAACAGGUAGUAGGAUCGGGGGUGAUUCCGUCGCGGGCAACGGGGGGGGGGAGCGCAAGUCAUCAUGGCCCUUAUGUCCAGGGCUACACACGUGCUACAAUGGGUGAGACAGAGUGACGCGAAGCCGCGAGGUGGAGCAAAUCGCAGAAAAUCAUCCGUAGUUCGGAUUGGAGUCUGAAACCCGACUCCAUGAAGGUGGAAUCGCUAGUAAUCGCGCAUCAGCAUGGCGCGGUGAAUACGUUCCCGGGCCUUGUACACACCGCCCGU